rnacentral:rRNA from 1 species
UCGGGAAUUUUGCACAAUGGGGGAAACCCUGAUGCAGCAACGCCGCGUGAGUGAAGAAGGCCUUUGGGUUGUAAAGCUCUUUCGAUUGGGAAGAAGGGCUUCAUGGCUAAUAUCCAUGAGGUUUGACGGUACCAGAAGAAGAAGCCCCUGCUAACUUCGUGCCAGCAGCAGCGGUAAUACGGGGGGGGCAAGCGUUGUUCGGAAUCAUUGGGCGUAAAGCGCACGUAGGCGGGUCGGUAAGUCGGUUGUGAAAUCCCUGAGCUUAACUCGGGAAUUGCACUCGAUACUGCCAAUCUUGAAUGCUUGAGAGGGUGGUGGAAUUCCAGGUGUAGAAGUGAAAUUCGUAGAUAUCUGGAGGAACAUCCGAGGCGAAGGCGGCCACCUGGCAAGACAUUGACGC